rnacentral:rRNA from 1 species
AUUGAACGCUGGCGGCAGGCCUAACACAUGCAAGUCGAACGAGUGGCGGACGGGUGAGUAAUGUCUGGGAAACUGCCUGAUGGAGGGGGAUAAAUAAUGGAAACGGUAGCUAAUACCGCAUACAAUCAGAUGAGCCCAGAUGGGAUUAGCUAGUGGGUGGGGUAACGGCUCACCAAGGCGACGAUCCCUAGCUGGUCUGAGAGGAUGACCGGCCACCAUGGAACUGGGACACGGUCCAGACUCUUACGGGAGGAAGCAGUGGGGAAUAUUGCACAAUGGGCGCAAGCCUGAGGCAGCAAUGCCGCGUGUAUGAAGAAGGCCUUCGGGUUGUAAAGUACUUUCAGCGGGGAGGCGUUACCCGCAGAAGAAGCACCGGCUAACUCCGUGCCAGCAGCCGCGGUAAUAC